GGUCCCUCCCAAAGCAGACAUGAAAAUCUUUUCAAAAAUCUUUUAUUAAGGGGAAAACGACACAAAAUCAAUCCCCUCACUCAAUUUAGAGAUACUCUUUAUGUAGCCAAGGAGAAUAGGUACAUAUUUUUUAAUUUUCCCGAAGAUAUGAAAAUAGGGUAUAUAGAUUCUUUUUAUUUACGUACAAACAAAUUGAUAUGAUAUAUGUAUGUAUCGGGUGAGAGAUGGAAGAAAAUGGAGUAAUAGACAGAAUUUUGGAGCAAUAAUGAGGCAUGUUCAAUUGUUGAUUAGGAAUGUUCCACCAUACUGCAAUUGUGUGCAUAACUAUGACUAUAUUCGGCAACACCGUCUUUCAGAUCUGUCAAUUCAUAAAAAUACCAUCUAAAAGAACCGAUCUGAUAAGGAUAUUUUUGGGUUUUUCUUAGGCCUUUGAACAUAUAGUGAGGGGUGGGAUGAGUAGUUUUCUAUUUUCCCGUCCCGAUCCAUGCUCAAAUGAUUACCACACUGCAAUGGCCCAAAGAAAUAUAGAGCCCAAGCCCAUACUCCAAAGCAAUGGCCCGAAAUAUACAUAUAAUGAGAAGGCGAUACUGCAGUGACCAAAAAUAAAAAGUUGGAAAAUUGUUGUUAACUUGCUUUGCACCUCGUUUGCAACACAGUAAGUCACAUAAUUUUUUGGUUAUGGUUUUUAAUAUUACUAGCAAUAUAUCCGUGCACCUGAACGGAACGGACCGCACGCAAACGGGAUGGGUUAUUGUAUGAAAGUAAAUAAUAUACAAAUAGUCCAAAAAUUAAAUUGAAUUGAAAAAAUAUACGAAAAAAAUUAAUAUAAUUGAAAUGAUUUUCCCAAUCUGCUAAUUAAGUAAUGAAAAAAUACAUUAAAGGUUAAUUAUUCUAUCAAUAUAACUAUUGCAAUCAUUAUUAUUUUGUU